GACGAACGCGGCGGCGUGCCUAAUACAUGCAAGUAGAACGCUGAAGGAGGAGCUUGCUUCUCCGGAUGAGUUGCGAACGGGUGAGUAACGCGUAGGUAACCUGCCUGGUAGCGGGGGAUAACUAUUGGAAACGAUAGCUAAUACCGCAUAAGAGUAGAUGUUGCAUGACAUUUACUUAAAAGGUGCAAUUGCACCACUACCAGAUGGACCUGCGUUGUAUUAGCUAGUUGGUGGGGUAACGGCUCACCAAGGCGACGAUACAUAGCCGACCUGAGAGGGUGAUCGGCCACACUGGGACUGAGACACGGCCCAGACUCCUACGGGAGGCAGCAGUAGGGAAUCUUCGGCAAUGGACGAAAGUCUGACCGAGCAACGCCGCGUGAGUGAAGAAGGUUUUCGGAUCGUAAAGCUCUGUUGUAAGAGAAGAACGAGUGUGAGAGUGGAAAGUUCACACUGUGA
rnacentral:rRNA from 1 species